CCAUGCCCAGCUUUGCAUCUUAAUUCUCUUUAAAAAAAGAAUGUAAGCUAUACAUUCUUGUUCUUUAUUUUUUGAAUCAAGAAAUUGAAGUACUGAAAGACCACAGAUAAAAUAUUGAUACCCUUCUUUAAGGAUUGUAAUAUACUAAACAAGUUCUUAAUAUGCUAUUGAGGCACUGAGGAAAUACACAGACCACAACAGCUACAUGCAGUCAUGAUGGACAGGACUGCUCAAUACCCAUAGAGCCUCAAUUGUGAACUGAUUAUACUAAAUAGACGGGACUUAGGGUUGUCUCAAGGUGAGUAUAUACUAUCUGAGGAAACAGGGUACACAUGAAUAUUUAUCAUCAGAAAGGUAAUUUUUGCAGAAAUUUUGUGCUGUUUACCAUCACAUUUGUUCUCCACUUUUUCUUGUUCACAGAGGUAGAUAUUUUCUAUUACUAACUUCUCUUGUUUUUUUUGUGUGUGGACAUUUCUUGAGUUCUAGCCAAUGAAAUGUGAGCACAGUUAACACACUACUUCUAGGCUUGGCUCAUUAAAAACUCCUAAGUACGCUCCUCUAAGCUCUAUUUGUUUCCUGUCUAGUGUGAUGAAGAGGACUGCCAGGGAAGCCUUGGAUGACACAAGGUGAAGAUGGCAGAAUGUCUGCUGGCCAUUUGGAAGAAGAUUGCUCUACUGACCUUUUUACUCUUGUGAGCAAGAAAUAAGCCAUUAAUAUGUUUGUGCUAUUACAUAUUUUGAGUCCAUUUGUUUUAGCAGUUAUUGGAUCUUGCCUAAUAAAACAAGACUAUUGAAGAGGGAGCAGUAAACACAGGGUAACAGCUAUCCACAAGACACACUUUUAAGUUUAAUGCACAUGAUUAACAUUUUUUCAAUCAUUUUUUAAAGUCAAGACAAUCAACAAAACAAUAAAUCAAGCCUUUUUUUUGGUAAUGUGAGUACUCCCAACAUGGUUGAUUUGAAGCUUCUAGUGUAGGAGGAGACGUGCUAGCAUCAUUAUAUGGUAGCCCCAUUGUACAGGUAAGACAAAUAUAUUAAUAAAUAACCUUGAGUGUAUAAAAUAAUAAAAUAAUAAGAAAGUGAUAUGUCUCAGGUGGCUUUACUGGCCCGAGGCAGUAAUUAGAUUACUUGCAUCUAAUUUGUAAUAUUUCUAUAACACACUGUUGGAGUACACGAAAAAUAUAAUCUCCAGAAUUUAUUUCUCUCUACUAGCAUUUCAGUGUAUGUUUGUUAUAUAAUUUUGUAAAAGUUUCCAGCAAACAAUGUUGCACUACUUGGUAGACAAAAUGUUGUCUCCCCCUUCCCUGCAAAGAUGUCCAUGUCUGAAUCCCUAGAAUCUGUGAAUCUAUUAGAUUACAUAGCAAGGGAGAAUUAAUAUUAUAGGUGGGAUUAUGGUUGCUAAUUAGUUGAUCUUAAAAUAGGACCAUCCUGAUUAUAUUGAUGAACCUAGUGGGUCACAAAGGUCAUUUAAAUGUGGAAGAAGGAGGCAGAAGAUUUAGAGCCUGAGUCAGAAAAGAUGUGAUAACAGAAGCAAGGUUAGAAGCAAUAUGAUGUGAAUACUCAGUGCACCAUUACUAGCUUUGAAGAUAGAAGCAGCAGGCCACUAACCAAAGAAUGUAGGCAUCUUCUAGGAGCAGGAAAAGGCAAGGAAAUAGAUUCUCCUGUAGAGCCUUUAUAAAGGAAUGCAGCCCUGCCAAUACCUUCAUUUUAAUCCAGUGAGACCCAUAUCUAAAACAGUAAGAUAAUAAAUUUAAGUUGUAUUAAGACACUAAACCGAUGACAAUUUGUUACAGCAGCAAUAGGAAACUAAUACACUGCCAAUCCCCAAAUUCUGUUUUUAUCUGAAAUGUGUUAAGUGUCACAGUAGUUACAUAUCUUCAUGACACAGAAAAAUGAAGGUCAAUGUUUAAGAGAUGGCAUCUUCCUCAAUCUAUAGUCAAUAGAUUUUAGAGUGUGGUUGCUAUAGUUUAGGGGUCUCUGUUUUCUGCGUAAACAGCAAAAAAGAGAAAAAGCAUCUUUCUAUGUUCUUUCAUUUGUGUGAAGCUGAUUCAUUGUUUUUAUUUCAGCAUAUUAUGGGGGUAUAAAUGUUUAGGUUAUGUAUAUUGCCCAUGCCCUGCCCCCUACCAUCCAGUCAGAGCUUUAAUCAUGUCCAUCCUCCAGACGGUGCACAUCACACUCAUUAUGUAUGUGUAUGAUGUGAAAGUGUGACUGGAUUUUUUUUUCUUCAUGAAAUUCUUAGACAUUAUAAAUAGGUAAACUACUCAUAUAAUAGCAAUAAUUUUAUUUUCAAAACAGUAAAUUUUUAUGAUUUUGUCUCCAUUUUUUAUAGGUAUUUUGGUGGGAAUUUGGAAAAGCCUGGCAGAAACUGUUUUCAUGUUAUAACAAUACAAUUAAAAAUUGACUAUUUCACACAAAACCUAUUGGAGUAGUAUGUUAGGUAACAUCCACAUGUGCCUAUGGAUUUGUAUAAGCAUAUAUUUAAUCAUGAAAACUCUAGCAAACUAAUUUGCAUCAGUAUGUAAUCAGUGUCAGGUUUAUUCUAGUUGAGAUUCUGAAUUAGAUAAAAUUAGUACAUAAAUUUCGACUUAAGAGUGUUUGUAAGUUGCGUUAUCUCUUUUGAGAUACUGAGACAUUAUUAUAUACUUGUGUAGAAAACAAUUUAAAAAUUCUGAUUUUUUAUGUCUCUUUACCUUUAAAAAGGCUACAACAUACUCUUUCUGAAACACUUUCUUAUUCUAUUUGUGUUUCUUUCUCUCUCUUGUCUUCAUUUAUUAAGCACCUUAUGAGCAACUUGGGCAUGGUCCAUCACCUCUAGAUAUUUUUGUGGAGGGCAUCCAUCAGUUACAUUAUUCUGAUUAAAUAUGUGUUUGGAGAUUGGAAAAAGAAAGUGUUCCUUAUUAUUUCUAAUGCUUCCUUUCCCCCCUUAUCCCUUGUGUUUAAGAACAGAAUGAGGUUCUGAUGCUGCUUAGAUCACUUUUAUUUUCUCUUUUUAAAAAAGGUAGAAAAGUAUAAGCAUUUUUGAUAAUAAUAAUGUUGUAUCUAUAGAAAAGGAAUGUGGUUUUUAAAAAUUAUGUCAAAAUGAAUUCUAAUGUUAUAAUAUUUUGGUUUGUGUUAUUGAUUGAUUAGUAGCCCAUUCAGCUAUAACUUUGAUUUUAUCAAUGACUCAUAAGCUUUGCCCUUUCUACAGUCACUGGCAGCAUAGUUGAAUUUUGAAGGACUAUUUCUGGCUUUGCUGACAUUUGUAGUGACCACAAUUCCUUUCAGUUAUUUGCUUCCUUUGAUAAUACUUUCUUUAUUGGCUCAAUGGUGAAAAAUGUCUUCACUAUUCAUAUUCAAGUACUAUGAGCACAGAAAAACUGAGACAUUGGAGCAAUUGAGCACUUAACAUGCUUAAUUAAAUAUAAGGGUAAAUGAUGCACUUAAGUUUUAAAUUAAAUUUUACAUUCAUGGGUUCAGCAGGGUCUUCUUCCAACUUAAGAGUGAUGCAUAAAUCCUGUGUCUGCAAUUACUGAAAUACAAAAAUACCAAAUAACUCCCCAAAAGAUCAAAAGAAGAAAGGAGACAACUUGGCCUUAAGUUGAUUUAUGUUUUUGAACCAGACAUGAAUAAACAGAAGUAGUAAUUAUAGUUCAUAGAUUAUUCAAAACAAAGUAAACAUUAUUUAUUAUUGCUCUCCAAUUAUGCAUUUUUAAAAUUUAUUGCCUACUGAUUAUUUUGCAAUCCUGACUCAUUAGUAUACUUAGACUAGUUCUUGUAUUAAAACCAAUUAAAAUGUAUGAAUUAAAUUUUAAUUUUCAUUCUAUUUCAACUGCAUUAAUGUUCUGAAAAAUCUUUAUAUUUCCCCUUAAAAUAAAGCAUACUAACCUCAGCUAUCAAAUACUGAUUAGUAGAGUAUAAUUUUUUUCACCACUUUAUGAAUUGUCUAAUUACAUAUCAAUUUUUUCCAUAUUAUAUUAUUGGUAAAAAUGCAAAUAAUAUUUUAAUGCAUUGCAAUUUAUGGAAAUUUGUUAUUAACUAUGGCUAUCUUAUCUAUAAAACUUAAUAAUAGAAUGUCAGUCUAGUGCUAAAACACAAAUCUCUGUAAAUAAAUAUUCGUAUGUUGGAAGUGAAGAUAUUUUUCUUUUUUGAAUGGACCCAGCAUUAAACUCAUAAAACAUAUUUCUUUUGUUAAAGCAAACAAUAUUAAUGCUGCUUGUUAAAGAUGUUAAGGCAGACUUUAUCCAAGAAGGGCAGCAGGACUAUUGUCAAAGGAAUGGAGACCAUUGCAAUGGGAUUUUGUGGUGGGAGAGAGAGAUUGGGCUCCACUUGGAAUAUAGCAUGAACAUGUGGAAAUUUGUAGCCAAAGAGUAAAGUUGUUAUCAGUGGAUGGAAAAUUACCAAGAGGAAUCAUCGUGGGCUAGGGGAGAUUUUGGCUAAACCCAGGUAACAAGAUUCUUGCUGGAGGCAGGCCAGAGUGAUCAGACAUCACCUGGAGGAUGGUGGGGAUGAGGAAGCCAAUCAGAUGUCUAGGGUGAUCAGAUAACAAGGGUUGGGGCUCUUGCUGAACAGAUUUAUCAGGGCUCUCACUAAAACUUGAUUUUAUAAAGAAUUGCACAUAUGGGCAUAAGACAAUGUUCAGGAGCCAACUAAAGUUUAGUUAAAGAAUCUCUGUGACUUAGUGAAUAAAAAAUGUAAAUUAUCUCUAUAAGGAGGCAAAGGACAAAUAUCACAUUUCUUAAUUUCAAACCAUAAAUUAACUCUGAUUACUUUGAAUAAAAUAGUCAUUGUUAGAAAGGUGUCUGCAAGAUCAUGGAAUUUAAGAGUAUGCUGUAGAACUAGGCUUGAAUGAGGAUCACUGUGAGCAGGACAACCCGGAGAAAUUGCCUGAUUAGAACAUUCCACUAAUUCUAUCUUCAAUUCUUCUUGUUGCCAUUGCUGCCUCUGUAUACUUGACUUCAACACAGCUGGCACAAAUAAUCUCUAAUUUGACUCUGUAUCUUUGCAUAGCUUUCUAAGAUUUCAAAGUUCAGCGCCUCAGCCAGCAGAAUCCUGGUGGUCAUUCUUGGGCCAACUCCCUAUUCUCUACCUGCUAAGGACAGGGGAAAAGGAUUAUCUUCCUUCCUUAAAUCUAUAUCUCAGGCCAUCUCCUUCAGGUGAAAUGGACAACCAAAUGUAUUGUUUGAAAUUCUACAUACUGGGAAGAUUCUUUCUCUACUGCUUUUUAAAGCUACCUAAAAAAAAUAUGGUGGUAAAUAUAGUAAUACUGCUGUCUGCAUUUGGAUAGUGUCAACAUGUGGCAUCAUCUAUAAACUGGGUUUGAAUUUGGGGACUCAUUGGGCCAUGUUGUGAUUUGAGAGAGAGACAAAAAUGCAGCAAAAAUAGAUGGAACUGAGAGUGUGAGUCAGUUCCUCAUGCAACUUACCUGUGCCUGUAGAACAUUCGUGUAUUCUAUUAAUAUAUCACUCCUACUUGUUGAAGUAUUAUUGGUGUAGGGCAGAAGAAAUAUUUUUCCCAUCUUAGGUUCAUUGACUUGGGCCCUUCUAACAAAAGACAGAUUAACAAGAGACUAGCAUACAAAUUUACUUAAUAUCAAAUUUAAAUGACAUGAGAGCUGUUAUAAAGACAUGAAGACUGAAGGAGGAGCUAAACCUAAGUAGGUUUUGUUUUGUUUUGUUUUUAGUAGAUUUGAUGAAAAGUUGAGAAUCAUGGACCAAUAUCACAGGACAAAGGUGGUAUGAGCUAAUAGACUGGGGGACAUUUAGCAAAGCUCAUUCAUUCAGAUUCCCGUGUCCCUGUGUUUCCAGAGAUAAUGAUACUCCUUCCUUCCAGGUAUAGGGAGGGCACCUCUCACUCAGAGGGUCUUAUGACCUUUUGAGGAGAAAGUCAGAAAAUCCUUCCUAGGUUUUAUGACCUGUUUCAGGGGAAAGGGACAGGGGAAAGUCAUAGAGAAUUUUUUUGCAUUUGCUAUUUCUCAAAUUCAUUCCACUUAAAAUAUUCAAUAUAUCAGAGUGUCAUAUUUUAGGGUACCAUGUCCUGAACCCCAUCUCUGGUCAUGACUAUGUUUAUGGCAAGUGAAUCUUACAACACCUGAUGAUGGAUAGCUUAGCUCACAUAGUUCUUGAUUGAAUCUCUGCUGAACAAAGAAACCAAGAACUGAUAAUUAAUCAAAACUAUUUACUUGCCAUGGGGGAUGUAGCUUUAGUUUGAUAUUUAGGUUAUACUUAAGAUUCUUUCUUACAUGCACAGCUUUGUAUUUUGGUACAGAUAUUCACUGUGGAAUUACCAGUAGAUAACAAGGAUUGAGUUGUGAGUUCUGCUACCAUCACAGCCUGGACCAGCUGAAGAAGUUUCUCUUGCUCUAGUAUCCUCAUGAUGGCCUGCUUUCCAAAUGAUAUAACCAAUAUUAUGCCAAAUAAGAGUUUAAAGAAUUAAAAAAUAACAUUAAAAGGCCUAAACAAUCUUAAUGAUUUAAAAAUCUAACAGCAUACAUUUUAUUUUAGUAAUUAUUAAUUUACUAGCUGGCAUUAGCCAAUUACUUAUCCUUAUAUCCUUAUCAUUAAAGUGGGUUUUCUUGUCAUGCUUCCUGAUGCUGUCAGGAUUUCCUGUUUAAUCACUGAAAAAUAUUGUGGCAAGUUCUGUGGGUUUUACUAUGUUUUUUUUUUUUCUGUUGAUUCAUGUCAUACAGAAAAUAGAAAUUUGAAAGCUGUGUUUAUAUUGAUCAGACAUUUCUGAGUAGGUCAGUUCUGAGUAAGAGAAAAAACUGAACAAAUUGGCCUGACUUAGCUUGAGUAGCUACUUUUAAUCUACACUAAAUAAAAUGAUGUCUUCAGGAACUGUUGUAUACAUUUUUAUAUGUAUGUUCUCUUUAUUCAUUUUUAUAAAUAAAAUUAUAUUUUCUUCAGAAUUGUAAUUUUUCCCUUAAAUUAACUCCUUUUGCAUUUUUCCCAUGACACAUUGAAACUACACUAAAUUUAUGUUAAUAUCAUAAACCCUAUAGAAAUUAGUUAAACAUAAGAGAACUUUAAAGGAAAAAUAUUGAGGGAGAUGCCCCUGGGGUUUUAUUGACAUAUCAGUAGGGAGCAGAGUUUUUCAUAACCAUGUAUCAGAAUGACUGCCCUUCUCUAUUGGAUAAAUUAAUUCUGUAAUGGGGCUGGAGAGAAGAGACAUGUCCCGCUGAGCUAGAAAGUGUAGAUGUGGAGAAAAUUAAGAGUUUGCCUCUUUGCGAGUGAAAUUAGUGGUUUUACAAUAUGUAGUUGGUCAAACAUAAAGAUAAAAAUACUUGUUUGGGUAACACAAAUAGAUACUAGCUAUUAGUAUCAAUCCAGUGUUAAUUAUCCCUUACGGACAAAGAAGAGCCAUUCGAAAUGUGAAGUCAAAAUUUAGAGCUAAUUAGAGAAUACCACUGGGAAAUUUGUAAAGUAUAAGUAAAAGGGGAAGGGUUUUAUGACUGCCCACUAUAAAUGAGAGUUCUUGUCAGAAUCUAAAAUUUAAUCUGAGAAAUGAAGAAUAAAAUGGGGCAUCUAAUGAAAUCUUAUUGAGACAUAUGUCUGACUUCUAUGAUGUAUUUCUGGGAUGAGAUAACUUCAGUUUUAUGUUAAAUAGCAAAAACAAUUUCUAUAAAGUAAACAGGAACAUUAAUUAUAUUAUCAUUCCAAAUUAUAGAACUAACUUCAGGUAUUCAAGCUUCAUGACAACAUCUUAAUGCAUCUAUUUAAAUGUUUCUGGAAAAUGAGGCAAAGGGUAAUACACUUUGUUAUAGCUUUAUUUACUCAAUUUUCAAAUUACCUUUUUCUCCAGAAAUAUUGCUGUUAUUUAAAAAGUAUCAUUUGAAAUAUAUUUAUUGGACACAAGCUCUUUCUGAUCGUAUGCUUUUUUUAUUUUUUCAUCCAGCUUAACACCACAAGUCUUCAGCUGAGUGAAACUUAUAUGUAACAUUUCAUACGACCAAGUUAACAUCAACAUCAAUAGCAAUAACACAGCAACAGCCAACAUUUAUUGAACUUUUUACUAAGUUCCAGUCACUGUGUGAGUGCUUUACAGGAGCCCUUCACUUCUCACAACAAUCGCAUGAAGUGAUCUCUGUGGAAAUGGAGACUCAGAGAAAUGGAGUCAGUUGUAAGUUAGCCAAAGUCAUACAAACUGCUGUCAGUCCAAGGAUCAAAAGCAGUCUGACUCCAGAGUCACUAUUCUUUUAAAAUCAAGAUUGACUUUUUAUUUUCUGUUUCAGAACACUUGUAACAAACCAUCCUAAAACUUAGUGGUUCUAUAAUAAAAAAAACAGUACCAUUUACUAUUGCUUAUAAUAUUUUGGACACAAUUGGGUGGAUCUUCUGCUUCACAUGGGGCUAGCUGGGGCCAUAGUCAGCUGGAGUUUCCACUGGACUGGGUCAUACAAGAUGGCUCAUUCAACAUGGCCGGUAGUUGGUGCCAGCUGUUGGCUGGAUGCUUAGCCGGGCUGUCAGUGGGAGCAUGUUAGCUAUCCUAGAGCUGUCCUAUGUGCCUUGAAUUUUCUGUGCAUGGUGGGCAAGUUCUAAGAGGAAACUUUCUGAACUAUAUAAGAAAAACUGGAGAUCCCUUAAGACUCAGCCUCAUAAGAUACAUAGUCACUUCUGUUGUGUUCUAGUGAUCAAGGAAAGUUGUGGGUACAGCCCAGACUAAAUGGGAAAGGAAAUGGACUCCACCUCUUUUUAGAAGAUAUGGCCAAGAAUAUGUGGUCAUUUUAACUUACCAUGCCGUUAGGCCGGGCGCGGUGGCUCACGCCUGUAAUCCUAGUUCUCUGGGAGGCCGAGGCGGGCGGAUUGCUCG